GCACUCUUUUACUGUGAAAACUGCGAAUGGCUCAUAAAUCAGUUAUCGUUUAUUUGAUAGUACCCUACUACAUGGAUACCUGUGGUAAUUCCAGAGCUAAUACAUGCGCAAAACCCCGACUUCGGAAGGGGUGUAUUUAUUAGAUAAAAAACCAAUGCCCUUGGGGCUCCUUGGUGAUUCAUAAUAACUUCACGAAUCGCAUGGCCUUGCGCCGGCGAUGGUUCAUUCAAAUUUCUGCCCUAUCAACUUUCGAUGGUAGGAUAGUGGCCUACCAUGGUGGCAACGGGUACGGGGAAUUAGGGUUCGAUUCCGGAGAGGGAGCCUGAGAAACGGCUACCACAUCCAAGGAAGGCAGCAGGCGCGCAAAUUACCCAAUCCCGAUACGGGGAGGUAGUGACAAUAAAUACUGAUACAGGCUCUUUUGGGUCUUGUAAUUGGAAUGAGAACAAUCUAAAUCCCUUAACGAGGAACAAUUGGAGGGCAAGUCUGGUGCCAGCAGGCCGCGGUAAUUUCCAGCUCCAAUAGCGUAUAUUAAAGUUGUUGAGUUAAAAAGCUCGUAGUUGAACCUUGGGCCCGUCCUGCCGGUCCGCCUCACCGCGAGUACUGGUCCGGAUGGGCCUUUCUUUCUGGGGAAUCCCAUGGCCUUCACUGGCUGUGGCGGGGAACCAGGCUUUUACUGUGAAAAAAUUAGAGUGUUCAAAGCAGGCCUUUGCUCGGAUACAUUAGCAUGGAAUAAUAGAAUAGGACGUGCGGUUCUAUUUUGUUGGUUUCUAGGACCGCCGUAAUGAUUAAUAGGGUAGUCGGGGGCGUCAGUAUUCAGCUGUCAGAGGUGAAAUUCUUGGAUUUGCUGAAGACUAACUACUGCGAAAGCAUUCGCCAAGGAUGUUUUCAUUAAUCAGGGAACGAAAGUUAGGGGAUCGAAGAGAUCAGAUACCGUCGUAGUCUUAACCAUAAACUAUGCCGACUAGGGAUCGGGCGGGGUUUCUAUGAUGACCCGCUCGGCACCUUACGAGAAAUCAAAGUUUUUGGGUUCUGGGGGGAGUAUGGUCGCAGGCUGAAACUUAAAGAAAUUGACGGAAGGGCACCACAAGGCGUGGAGCCUGCGGCUUAAUUUGACUCAACACGGGGAAACUCACCAGGUCCAGACAAAAUAAGGAUUGACAGAUUGAGAGCUCUUUUUGAUCUUUUGGAUGGUGGUGCAUGGCCGUUCUUAGUUGGUGGAGUGAUUUGUCUGCUUAAUUGCGAUAACGAACGAGACCUCGGCCCUUAAAUAGCCCGGUCCGCGUUUGCGGGCCGCUGGCUUCU
rnacentral:rRNA from 1 species